ensembl:lncRNA
CCUGUCCCCUCCCUGUCUGCUGUCUCACCAGGUACACUGAUCAGCCAUGAGAAACUCCUGCUGCAGAUCAACACAGAGAGAGAGAUGGGCAACAUGGACUACAAACUGGGACAGGUAGGAUGGAGAGAGAGAUGGACUACAAACUGGGACAGGUAGGAUGGAGAGAGAGAUGGACUACAAACUGGGACAGGUAGGAUGGAGAGAGAGAUGGACUACAAACGGGGACAGGUAGGAUGGAGAGAGAGAUGGACUACAAACUGGGACAGGUAGGAUGGAGAGAGAGAUGGGCAACAUGGACUACAAACUGGGACAGGUAGGAUGGAGAGAGAGAUGGACUACAAACUGGGACAGGUAGGAUGGAGAGAGAGAUGGACUACAAACUGGGACAGGUAGGAUGGAGAGAGAGAUGGACUACAAACGGGGACAGGUAGGAUGGAGAGAGAGAUGGACUACAAACUGGGACAGGUAGGAUGGAGAGAGAGAUGGACUACAAACUGGGACAGGUAGGAUGGAGAGAGAGAUGGACUACAAACUGGGACAGGUAGGAUGGAGAGAGAGCUGGACUACAAACUGGGACAGGUAGGAUGGAAGGAGAGAGAGAUGGGGAACAUGGACUACAAACUGGGACAGGUAGGAUGGAGGGAUGGAAGGAGAGAGAGAUGGACUACAAACUGCGACAGGUAGGAUGGAGGGAGAGAGAUGGGACACAUGGGCUACAAACUGGGACUGGAGGGAUGGAAGGAGAGAGAGAUGGACUACAAACUGGGACAGGUAGGAUGGAGGGAGAGAGAGAUGGGACACAUGGACUACAAACUGGGACAGGUAGGAUGGAAGGAGAGAGAGAUGGG